CCGACGGUGAGGGACGAAAGCUGGGGGAGCAAACCGGAUUAGAUACCCGGGUAGUCCCAGCCGUAAACGAUGCUCGCUAGGUGUCUGGGAUGGUGCGACCGUUUCAGGUGCCGCAGGGAAGCCGUGAAGCGAGCCACCUGGGAAGUACGGCCGCAAGGCUGAAACUUAAAGGAAUUGGCGGGGGAGCACUACAACGGGUGGAGCCUGCGGUUUAAUUGGACUCAACGCCGGAAAACUCACCUGGGGC
rnacentral:rRNA from 1 species